UACGGGGGGGGGCAAGCGUUGUUCGGAAUUACUGGGCGUAAAGGGCUCGUAGGCGGCCAACUAAGUCAGACGUGAAAUCCCUCGGCUUAACCGGGGAACUGCAUCUGAUACUGGAUGGCUUGAGUCCGGUAGGGGAGUGUGGAAUUCCCGGUGUAGCGGUGAAAUGCGCAGAUAUCGGGGAGGAACACCCGUAGCGAAGGCGGCACUCUGGGCCGUGACUGACGCUGAGGAGCGAAAGCGUGGGGAGCAAACAGGG
rnacentral:rRNA from 1 species